UGAGUGAGAGAGUAGCGAUGGAGCGAGCAAUCACGAUCCUUCAUGUUAUGUUUUGAAGUGUCCCCAAGAAGAGAAGAUAUCUUUAUCAAAGGGAACCCUCCUCGCAUUGUUCUUUCGUUCUUCCUUGUAUCAUCGAUCGCAAACUUUCUGUCUCAGGGAAAGGUUUCAUCUUCUUCUUCGCUUUAAUUACACACGGAAGUAGCAUCAGUUUCUUCAAGAUCUCUUGAAGGUGAUAUUUGGGUUGAAAAAGAGACGAUUUGAGGAGAAAGGAAGGAUCCGGUUUGGUUUUUACUUCUGAAAUCUGAAUAGCUGCAAGGAUGAAUGAUCUUAUGACAAAAUCCUUCCUCAGUUAUGUGGAUUUGAAGAAACAGGCUCUCAAGGAUCUUGAAGCAGGGCCUGACAUUGAGAUGGGGCAGCUCGACCCCACGGACGAAGAGAAUCUGGCUCUUUUUUUUGAAGAGGUUGGUACAAUCAAAGCUGAGAUGGAAGAGAUCACUCAUCUCCUCCUUGACCUUCAAGGCCUAAAUGAAGAGACAAAAUUGACUCACAGUACUAAAGUACUUCGGGGGCUCAGAGACAGGAUGGAUUCAGAUAUGGUGACAGUCCUUCGCAAGGCCAAAAUCAUCAAAGCUCGAUUAGAAUCUCUGGACCAAUCCAACAAAGCCAACCGCAAUCUUUCAGCGGCAUAUGGAGAGGGAAGUCCGAUUGAUCGAACAAGGAUGUCCGUCACCAAUGGUUUGAGAACCAAACUGAGGGAGAUGAUGAAUGAUUUUCAGUCACUGAGAGACAAGAUUGCCUCAGAUCACACGGAAGGUCUGAAGAGGAGGUACUUCAAUGCCACUGGCGAGGUUCCCAGUGAGGAGUUGAUAGAGAAGAUGAAAUCAGGGGGCCAGCAAAUCCAGAUUUUUGAAGGAAAACCAGAAUUGAAUCUGGAGAAUCAGGAGAGACAGGAGGCUCUGAACCAGAUUCAGAGAAGCUUGACGGAGCUUCAUCAUGUCUUCCUCGAUAUGGCUGUUUUGGUUGAGAAACAGGGCGAACAGAUUGACAACAUAGAACAGAAUUUGGCCCGUGCAGGUGACUUCAUCAGUACUGGGACGAAAAAACUAGUUGAUGCUGACAAGAUGAAGGGAAAGAGAAGGAGAUGGGUAUACUGGCUUUGGGCUCUACUACUGGUCAUCGUCUUAGUGUGCCUCAUUGUGUCUCUCAUUUCUUGAGGAAAUUGAAGACAGUUUUCAACAGUUCGAGAAUUUUAUCUGGUCUUCUUCUUUUCAGGCCAUCUGUUUGCUUGAAGUUUAAAUGUUUGCCUUGCGUUCCCCUGUGGGUUUUGCAGCCUAAAGUGUGUUUACAGUUGAAGAUGCGACAAAAAUGCCGGGGAAGAAGACUACACCCAUCCAUAGCCAAUUUGCCACAUUGCCACCAUGAGAUGCAGAUCUGAUCUUGGGGAUGUAAGGGUAAAAAAAGUUGGUGAUGAAAUAGCAUUAAAGAAGUUCCACCUAUUUUGAGGAAAUUGCUCAGUUGUUUUCUUGGUGAUGAUGGUAAACAAUUUUAUCAUUUGGUCUGACCGGUGGAUCCCAGGUUUUGGCGAGGGGUAUGUUGCCUCAAUGCUCCACAUUCUCAUUAACGUUAGUGAAUUGAUAGUGCAGGGUGAAUGGAAUCCUAGCCUGAUUUAAACAAUCUUUCCCAAUUCGAUUGCCAAGCUGAUUUUGGCUAUCAAAGUAAGAGAGAGACCCUCAUAUGGAUAUGCUCUCUACACCACUCUCUUAAGAGAAGUGUUUUAA